rnacentral:lncRNA from 1 species
UGGUUCCUCCCAAAAUUCAGGGUCUCUAUUGAUGGCCCAUCCGUUGACGAACACUCGAGUUUUCUUUGGAACGAAGUAGUCUUUUAUAUAGCAAUCUUUGAGUGAUUCUCUCGGAAGUAACAGUGGAGCUGGAGGGUGUAACCGCAAGGUUUCUUUAACCACGGCCUUCAAGUAGGUCAUCGCGUUCAACUGUUCCUCUCGAACCAUGCGUUUUUCGAGAACGAUCCCUCUCACCUCAUCUUGUAGUUUUUCCAUUGUUUUGGAGUUUCGAACAAGCUCCGCCAUGGCCCAUUCUAGGGUUGUAUAAGUUGUCUCUGUUCCUGCGCCAAACAUACCCUGCAAAUAUAUAAAACAAAGAUGAUACCAAGUAUUAAAGUUUAUAUAGUCAAAAAUAAAUAAAUAAAUAGAAGAACUUUGGUCUACUUUGGUUGUGCUAAUAAUUUCUUUUUUUUUCCUCCAGUGCCUUUGAACUAAUGAUUCAAAAUUCAAAAAUAUUACCAUCGAAAUUGCUUUCAUGUGAUCUUUCUCCAACUUGAAAUCCAAAUUUGAAUCUUUCUGAAGUGAGAGCAACACAUCGACGAAGUCCUCUUCCCCAUCAUCCUUUCCAUUCUCAUGAUCCUCAAUCACCUCAUCAAGUAGAUCAUCCCAUCUCUUGAAGUUCCUUCUCGCCCUCGAACUCAACCCCCCCAAGAACACGCCCAACCACGCUAACCAAGGGAAGUAGUCCUCUAUAUUAAACGCACCUAGAAGAUACGAAUUCUCCUCGAGAAGCUCAUGGAAGAGUUCAUUCCUUCGCCCUCCUCUAAAGAGCUUUCCCGAAACCACCCUACAUGUCAUAUCAUUUGCGAAAGAGAAUAGAACUUCACUCAUAUCUAUUGUUCUAGGCGAAGAACAUUGUCUUAUCUUUUCUAUCAUGAACGCGACUUCCUCCUCCCUCAUGAGAUGAUAAGAUUGCACCCUUUUCGCGCUUAGGAGGUGAAUGAUACAAAGCUGUCUUACCUUCCUCCAAUACUCACCGUAUGGUGAGAAACCCAAGCCCAUGUUGUUGUAGAAAAGGAUCUUCGUGACCUUCGAAGAAGGUCGGUUCGCAAAACUUAUGUCGUGGGUCUUCAUGAUCUCACGCGCCAUGUCGGGUGAGGAGACGAUAAGCGUAAGGAUUUCGCCAAGUUGGAGAAGCAUGAGGGGGCCAUGCUUCUUCGAGAGAGAGGCGAGAGAGCGAUGAGGGAGCGAACCGAGUUGGUGGAGGUUUCCUAUGAGAGGAAGCUUGGGAGGGGAAGGGGGGAGCUUGGUUUUGUGAGAGGAAGUUCUUUUGGUGAUAACAAGGAAAUAGAAAAGAGGGGGAAGGAGGAGAGAGGCCAUUAGAGAUAGGCCUAGUGCAACUUGUAGUAUUGUUAGGGCCAUUGCUUCAAAGUGUUAUUCUCUUGAAGACACUAUUAAUUUGCUCAGUUUGCCUUUCAUUUAUAGUUGUAGAUGGUUUGCAUUUAUACACUUGAUAGCAGUGGAUGCACUAAUUGAAGAUAUUAUAUAUUUCUACUCUUGUAGUGUAGCAUAUCACUCCUGAUGAGAUAUAAUAUACAACAUUAGUUUAUAUAAGAAAAGGUUUCAUUUUAAUGGAAAUUAAACUUUUUUAUUCAGUGACAAAUAUCAAGAAUUAAAUCUACAACAUCAUAAAAUAGAAGAGAAUUAUAUAUAUAUCAUGUACAAAAUUACAAGAGAGAUAACAAAAAAAUCGAAAUAAAAAUACAUUUAAUUGACCUAUUAAAUUGUAAAUGAAAGGAACUUACCAAAACAUGAAAACCAAGGAAUUUAAAACUGACUCCAAUAGAUGUAUUAUGUAGAAAACAACUUAGAAAUAAUUUUAUUAAAUGGCAAUUAUAUGUCAUCUAUGGAUAAGGGCCCUUCCAAACCAGCCGAAUAAAACAAAAUUAUAUAUAUUUUAUAAAAAAGAAAUGAAUGAGAAGUAGAACCCAAGAAACGAAGAACCACAAUUAAUGCAUGCACACCUACACAAGUGAGACAAAUAAAUUAAAGCACCUCAAGGAAAAUUCCAUACCAAGUGUAUAUGCAAAUGGAAUUUUGUGCUUGUUCAUAUAUAAUUUCAGCUUAGCUGAUAAGCGCGCAAAAAAAAAAAAAAAAAGGAAAAUUGAAUGCUCAAUUUAAGUCGUUCGUAUCUUACUGUUAUUACAAAUUUGGACUUAUAAUUGUGCCACUGAUACUUUUUUUUUUUUUUUUUUAAGUGACACACGCAUAACUGACAUUGAGCAUUUUUUUUUUUUUUUUAUUUUUUUUACUCUUGGUAGAGGUGGCUAGAAUUCUCCACACUAUAAAAUUUAUGACAUUUAGCAAGAAUAAUUAUUGUUACUCUGGCUAUUGUCGUACAGUUUAGUAGUUAAUAUUUAUUUCGUCAUUAAUUUUUAGCACUAUAAAAGCUAAAAGUUUUAUAGUGCUGUGGAAGUAGAGACAAGAUUUUUCAAUGUUGCUUGUUUUUAGUAUCUAUUUUUAUUUUUAUGUCACAUCUCAAAAUUUGUAGUAACAAUUGACUUAAUUACUAGAUGAUGAAUCGAAGUUGAGCCAGAAUAAUUCUAAAAAUAUUACUGUUCAUAUAAUUUUAACUUUUCAAUCUUUGGAUUUACAAUUAUUUCAUCUACUAUCACUAAACUCCGGGCAUUCAAAUGUUGGCUUAAAUGGACACUGCUCUGUGACGGGAGACCAUGUUGACCGAGUCAUGUUCGAAAUGGCAUAAGACAGGAUGGGUCGAGUCAUGUUCGAAAUGGUGCGAGAUUGGUUGGGUCGAGUCACAAUCGAGACCCGUAGGUGCUGCAUUUGUAUGCUUUAAGUGAAUUGAUUGUAUAUUUUUAACAGCUCGAGCUUUUGGGAUUUAUGGUGCGCGCCAACGAUUCUGAUGAAUUAUACAUUUUCACAUAAGUUAAAGGGGUGAUUUAGCCCUAUUAUAUAAAUAAUAAUACUUGCUAGUCCAUAAUAAUUAUUAUCAACAUGGAACCUAAUCCAAAUAAUUAAUCAAUUGGGUCUAAUUAUUGGAUUUGGACUAAUUAUUUAUUGCUAGAUUUGGUCAAGAGAUUAAUUCAAGUACGACUUUUCCACUUCACUUUCAAUGUGGAAGAAACACUGACUUAUCACACAUGAUUCCAAAAGCACUUAAUUUCCAAAGAAGUUUUAUUGCUUAAAUUUUCUCUGGGCUAAAUUAGCUUUCCCCAAAAAACUUGCGAUGCAAGUAAAAGCAUAAUUAACUUUUCAUUUAAUAGAAAGAAAAAAAAAAGAAAUUGGAGAUGAUAAAAUAUCUGCAUCAAUAAUCAGCAUUAAUUGUUAAAAUAUAGAAUUUAUUUGAACUAUAAAACCAUUUUGAAUUUAUUUGAACUAUAAACAUAAUCUAAAUAAGUUAAAGUAUUUAGAUACAAACGUAUAGAAUUUAUCUGAACUAUAAAUUAACCAAUUUGAAUCUACUACUCAACCUUUCAAAAUUUUGAAUUUACUAUCCAACCUUUUAAUUUGUAUGAUUUUAGUCGGUCAACAUCACUUUGACUUCAAAAUGUAAUUAAACUAAUUACUUAUUUCAAUAAACUUAUGAUUCCGAGAAUUGCAUGAAGUAUAUAAACUAAAUCUGUAACGGUCUAUAAUUCAUGUAAUUUCUAUAUGUUUUCACCAAGUAAUUAGGAGUCAAUUAAAAGGGGAAAAAAUUAUUAAUGUAAUCCGAAUUAUGUGGAAAUACAAUAUGAUAAAUUUUUAGGUAAUUCAAAUUCACCUUUUCCUUGAAAGAAAAAAAAAAUGCCAGUUUUGAGAUCUUUUAAAUCAUAACAAUUUCAACUAGUUUUUGAUAAUUUUAAACACUCUAGAUCAUAGUUGGCUAUUCGAACCGUCUCUUCAAAUUAAUUUUUAAUUUUAUUCGCCAAUACGAAGAUUUUACAUACAUUCCAAGCAACAUACUACAACAAGCUCAUUCCAGAGAGAAUGGUACCAUCAUUUAAUUUGGAUAACAACAACUUUCUACGGCAAACAAGGUUUUGCAACUAAGUGAAGUUUUUCGGCCCGAGGAGUCAAAAAUCCAGGUUUCUCACUCAUAUCCAAUUCCUCUCUUCUCAAUCCAAGAGGCAACUCCCACUCGAACCGAUGAACAAGAUUAGCCAACGCGAGCUCGACAUCCAACACGGCAAAUUGCAUUCCGGGACAUAUCCUUCGACCUGCCCCGAAGGGAAUGAACUGGAAAUCGUGACCUUUGAAAUCCACCGAGCUAUCGAUAAACCUCUCGGGACGGAACUCAUCUGGUUCCUCCCAAAAUUCGGGGUCCCUAUUGAUAGCCCAUCCGUUGACGAACACUUGAGUUUUCUUUGGAACAAAAUAGUCUUUUAUGUAGCAAUCAUCGAGUGAUUCUCUCGGAACUAAUAGUGUAGCUGGAGGGUGCAACCGCAAGGUUUCUUUAACCACGGCCUUCAAGUAGGUCAUCGCGUUCAACUCAUACUCUCCAACCAUUCGAUUUUCGCCGACAAUCCCUCUCACCUCAUCUUGUAGCUUUUUCAUUACUUCGCAGUUCCGAACAAUCUCCGCCAUGGCCCAUUCUAGGGUUAUAAAGGUUGUCUCCGUUCCUGCACCAAACAUAUCCUGCAAGAAUGAGAAAUAAAAAUAAGACAAAGUAUUUGAGGUCAAAAUAUAUAUAGUCAAAAAAUAAAAGUAAAAAAGAACAAAACUUUGGUCUCAUUUUCAUAGUGCCAAUAAUUUUUCUUUUUUUUCCUCCCUUGAACCAAUGAGACAAAAUUCAAAAAUCUCACCACCAAAAUUGCUUUUAUGUGAUCUUUCUCCAACUCGAAAUCCAAAUUUGAACCUUUCUGAAGAGAGAGCAGCACAUCGACGAAGUCCUCUUCCCCAUCAUCGUUCCCAUUCUCAUGCUCCUCAAUCACCUCAUCAAGUAAAUCAUCCCAUCUCUUGAAGUUCCUUUUCGCCCUCGAACUCAACCCGAAGAACACACCCAACCACGCUAAGCAAGGGAAGUAGUCCUCUAUAUUAAAUGCCCUUGCAAGAUAAGAAUUCUCCUCAAGAAGCUCAUGGAAGAGUUCGUUUCGUCGCCCUCUUCUAAAGAGCUUACCCGAAACCACCCUACAUAUCAUAUCAUUUGCGAAAGAGUAUAGAACUUCGCUCAUAUCUAUUGUUGUAGGUGAAGAACAAUGCUGUCUUAUCUUUUCUAUCAUGAACGCGACUUCCUCCUCCCUCAUGAGAUGAUAAGACUGCACUCUUUUCGCACUUAGGAGGUGAAUGGUGCAGAGCUUUCUCACAUUCCUCCAAUACUCACCGUAAGGCGAGGAAGCCAAGUUCCUGUUGUUGUAGAGGAGGAUCUCCGUGAUCUUCGUUGCAGGUCGGCUCGCAAAACACAGGUCAUGGGUCUUCAUGAUCUCGCGCGCCAUGUCGGCUGAGGAGACGACAAGCGUAGGGAUUUCGCCAAUUCGGAGAAGCAUGAGGGGGCCAUACUUCUUCGAGAGAGAGGCGAGAGAACGAUGAGGGAGCGAACCGAGUUGGUGGAGGUUUCCUAUGAGAGGAAGCUUCGGAGGGGAAGGGGGGAGCUUGGUUUUGUGAGAUGAAGUUCUUUUGGUGAUAACAAGGAAAUAGAAAAGAGGGAGGAGGAGGAGAGAGGCCAUUAGAGAUAGGCCUUGUGCAACUUGUAGUAUUGUUGGAGCCAUUGCUUCAAAUUAAGUGUUAUUCUCUUGAAGACGCUUAUAAUUUGCUCACUUUUGCGCGCCUUUCAUUUAUAGUUGAAGAUCAGUGGAUGCACAAAGUUGAAGAUAUUAAAUAUUUCUAACUCUUGUAAUCUAGCAUAUUACUCCUUAUGAUAUAACAUAAUAUUAUACAACAUUAAUUUAUACAAGGAGAGGUUUCAUUAAUUUUAAUGGAAAUUAAAUUUGUUCAUUCCAUGACAAAGAUCGAGAAUUAAAUCUACAACAUCAUACAAUAGAAGGGAAUUGUAUAUAUCAUCUACAAAAUUACAAGAGAGAUAACAAAAAAGUCAAAAUAAAAACACAUUUAAUUAAAUUGUAAAUUAAAGAAACUCACUAAUAACGAGAAUGCAAAGGAAUAUAAAACCGACUCUAAUAGAUAUAUACUGUAGAAAAUAGUUUAGAAAUAAUCUAAUUAAAUGGCGAUUAGGUAAUCGAUGGAAAGGGACAUGCACUUCCAAUUAAUUAAUUAAAUCAGCCGAAUAAAACAAGAAUACAUUCAAAAAGAGAAAUGAAUGAGAAGAAGUGGACGCCAAGAAACCAAGAAAAACAAUGAACAACUAACCAAGUGAGACAAAUAAAUUAAAGCACAUCAAAAUCAUAAAUAUCUUGAACUACCAGUCAAAUGUCCAUAAAUCAAGGAAAAAUCCACAGCAAAUUUUUGGCCAUUCGAUAAAGAUAUGUGCGGUUAGAAUGAUAAUGGUCUCCUAGAGUUGAGUGGGUGGUUGGUUGAAUAAUAUAAUCUAACUGGUGAAAAUAAUCAAAGGGGUAGAUCCAUACCGUUAAACGUUAUUUAGAGCAUUUUAAACGUCUAGAAAUCAAAGUUUAUAAUUUUUCGACAUCAUUUACCUUACAAUCAAAAUGUCACAAAAUUGAUAAUUUUUAACGGCCGGUAUGAGAUAUUUGCUUGUUUAACGGUGUAAAAGACUUGGAAUCGAUUAAAUUUUUAAUAGAAAAUUCUAUUCACUACAUAUAUAGAUAAUGAUCAAUAACUCCGAUCCUAAAUUGAAGGAUCCGAUCAUCCAUUUUUAAGAUGUCGUUCGAUUUUGAACGUUCAUUUUAUACCCUCUUGAUGAACUUUAUUAGGAUUUUAAAAAUUACGAAAUUUAUUUUUUAGAAGUUUCAAAUACUCUAGAUCAUAUUUAAUAGAGUGGAACGUCGAUUCAGAAGCUCUAUCAUUGAAAACAACUUACGAGUAUGAAGGGUUCUAUAUUCAUAAGAGUAUAGUAGUCCUAGCCUAUAUAUAUAUAUAUAUAUAUAUAUAUAUAUAUAUAUAUAUAUAUAUAUAUAUAUAUAUAUAUAUAUAUAUAUAUAUAUAUAUAUUAGCGUUAUAUUGAAGUGAGUGGUGACAUGUUAAAAUACUAGAUACUGCAUAAUAAUUUAUUAUAUAUCUACAUCGAACCUGAUCCAAAAAUGACUCAUCGAUCGUACAACAAGAGCUUUGGCUUGAGCAAUUAAUUAAUUGAGUCUAAUUAAGUAAUUUGGACUAAUUAUUGCUAAAUUGGUCAAGAGAUUAAUUCAAGUACGACGUUUCCACAUCGCUUUCCCACAUCACUUUCCAAGUGGAAGAAACACUGACUAAUAUCACACAUGAAUCCAAAAGCACUUAAUUAAUUUCCAAAGAAGUUUUCUUGCUAAUUUAUUUCUCUGGAAUAAUUAGCUUUCCCCAAAAAAGCUUGUGAUGCAAGUAAAGUAAGGUCCAAUCAGUCAUCAAUAGUUUGGCUCGUUCAAAGCAGCGUUGGGGGAUGUGCCCCGAAAAAUAGUUGCGUUUCUGUCUGUCCAAACAACCCACCAGAUUGCCGACAGAAGGGUUAAGCCUUUAGAUCUCGUCGCAGUGUCGGGAGUUUCAGAUACUUUGGACCAAAGCACACGGACGUCCCCCAUGACAUCAGCAGGUACUUCCAAACCCUCCGCAGGUUGAGUAGUAAAAUAAAAAAUUGUAAAGAUAUAGUUUCGAAAAUUGCAUGAAAUAUACAAACAAAAUUUGUAAAGAUAUACAACAUAUUUAUAUUUAAAAUUAAAGUGCAAUUAACUAUCCAAAUCAAAGAAACUCAAAGGUUGAAUAGUAAAAUCAAAAAUUUGAAAGAUUAGUUAGCAAGCCAAAAUGGUAUAAUUAAUCUCUUAAAAAAAAAACGACAAGCAAACCCGAAAACUAAAGGAUUUUAAUGAUUAGAUUCCAAAAUCCGUCAAACCACACUCACUCUGGGUUCCCAGAGUCUCUAACAUGGUUCAAGUAAGUGCGGUAUAUUUUCACCAAGUAUUUAAUUGGAAGUAGUUAAAAGGAAAAAAAAAAUAAUGUAAUUCGAAUUAUGUGAAAAUACAAUAUGAUAAAUUUGUAGGUAAUUCAAAUUAGCCUUUUCCUGUAAAGAAAAAAUUUGCUAGCUUUGAGAUUUUUUAAAUCAUAACAAUGUUAACUAGUUUUGGUAAUUCAAAAUACUUUAGAUCAUAGUCUGAUAUACGAAUCAUCUCUUCAAAUUAAUUUUCGAAUAUUAAUCGCAAAUAUACAAAGAUUUUACAUGCAUUCCAAGCGACAAACUACAACAAGAUCAUUCCAACGAGAAUGGUACCAUCAUUUAGCUAACAACUUCUUUCUAGGGCAAACAAGGUUUCGCAACUAAGUGAAGUUUUUCGGCCCGACGAGUCACAAGUCCAGGUUUCUCAUUCAUGUCCAAUUCUUCUCUUCUCAAUCCAUGAGGCAACUCCCACUCGAACCGAUGAAUGAGAUUAGCCAAUGCGAGCUCUAUAUUCAACACCGCGAAUUGAAUUCCUGGACAUAUCCUUCGACCUGCCCCAAAAGGAAUGAACUGGAGAUCGUUACCUUUGAAAUCGACCGAGCUAUCGAUAAAUCUCUCGGGACGAAACUCAUUUGGUUCCUCCCAAAAUUCGGGGUCUCUAUUAAUAGCCCAUCCAUUGACGAUCACUCGAGUUUUCUUUGGAAUGAAGUAGUCUUUUAUGUAGCGAUCUUCGAUUGAUUCUCUCGGUAUUAACAGUGGAGCUGGAGGGUGCAACCGCAAAGUUUCUUUAACCACGGCCUUCAAGUAAGUCAUCGAGUUCAAGUCAUCCUCUCUAACCACGUGAUUUUUGCCAACAAUCCCUCUCACCUCAUCUUGUAGUUUUUUCAUUACUUUGAAGUUUCGUACAAUCUCCGCCAUGGCCCAUUCUAAGGUUAUAGAAGUUGUCUCUGUUCC